GUUGAAAUGGCUUUCCCUCCAGAGUGGAUCCUGAGUACGGCGGAACACGUGAAAUUCCGUCGGAAUCCGGGAGGACCAUCUCCCAAGGCUAAAUACUCCCUAGUGACCGAUAGUGAACCAGUACCGUGAGGGAAAGGUGAAAAGCACCCCGGAAGGGGAGUGAAACAGUUCCUGAAACCGUGUGCCUACAAGUAGUUAGAGCCCGUUAAUGGGUGAUAGCGUGCCUUUUGUAGAAUGAACCGGCGAGUUACGAUUUGUUGCAAGGUUAAGCGGAAAAAGCGGAGCCGUAGCGAAAGCGAGUCUGAAUAGGGCGCAUAAGUAACAGGUCGUAGACCCGAAACCAGGUGAUCUACCCAUGUCCAGGAUGAAGGUAAGGUAAUACUUACUGGAGGUCCGAACCCACGCACGUUGAAAAGUGCGGGGAUGAGGUGUGGGUAGCGGAGAAAUUCCAAUCGAACUUGGAGAUAGCUGGUUCUCUCCGAAAUAGCUUUAGGGCUAGCCUCGAGGUAAAGAGUCAUGGAGGUAGAGCACUGUUUGGACUAGGGGCCCUUCUCGGGUUACCGAAUUCAGAUAAACUCCGAAUGCCAUGUACUUAUACUCGGGAGUCAGACUGCGAGUGAUAAGAUCCGUAGUCGAAAGGGAAACAGCCCAGACCACCAGUUAAGGUCCCCAAAUAUAUGUUAAGUGGAAAAGGAUGUGGGGUUGCUUAGACAACCAGGAUGUUGGCUUAGAAGCAGCCACCAUUGAAAGAGUGCGUAAUAGCUCACUGGUCGAGUGACCCCGCGCCGAAAAUGUACCGGGGCUAAACAUAUUACCGAAACUGUGGAUGAACCUCUUUAGAGGUUCGUGGUAGGAGAGCGUUCUAAGGGCGGUGAAGUCAGACCGGAAGGACUGGUGGAGCGCUUAGAAGUGAGAAUGCCGGUAUGAGUAGCGAAAGAAGGGUGAGAAUCCCUUCCACCGAAUAUCUAAGGUUUCCUGAGGAAGGCUCGUCCGCUCAGGGUUAGUCGGGACCUAAGCCGAGGCCGAUAGGCGUAGGCGAUGGACAACAGGUAGAGAUUCCUGUACCAGUGCUAAUUGUUUAACCGAUGGGGUGACACAGAAGGAUAGGGAAUCGCACGAAUGGAAAUGUGCGUCCAAGCAGUGAGUGUGAG
rnacentral:rRNA from 1 species